AUGGCUCAGGAUGAACGCUGGCGGCGUGCUUAACACAUGCAAGUCGAACGGAGUUUUUAAACGGAAGUUUUCGGAUGGAAGUUUAAGAACUUAGUGGCGGACGGGUGAGUAACGCGUGGGUAACCUGCCUCAUACAGGGGGAUAACAGUUAGAAAUGACUGCUAACACCGCAUAAUAUAGCGAAACCGCAUGAUUUUGCUAUCAAAUAUUUAUAGGUAUGAGAUGGGCCCGCGUCUGAUUAGCUAGUUGGUGGGGUAAAAGCCUACCAAGGCGACGAUCAGUAGCCGGCUUGAGAGAGUGACCGGCCACAUUGGGACUGAGACACGGCCCAAACUCCUACGGGAGGCAGCAGUGGGGAAUAUUGGACAAUGGGGGAAACCCUGAUCCAGCGAACCGCCGCGUGAGUGAAGAAGUAUUUCGGUAUGUAAAGCUCUAUCAGCAGGGAAGAUAAUGACAGUACCUGACUAAGAAGCCCCGGCUAACUACGUGCCAGCAGCCGC
rnacentral:rRNA from 1 species